rnacentral:tRNA from 1 species
AGUAAAGUCAGCUAAAUAAGCUCUCGGGCCCAUACCCCGAAAAUGUUGAACGCUCAACCUUUAUUA